rnacentral:rRNA from 1 species
GCCAGCAGCCAUGUCACCCUGCAACUUACAAUUGGCAGCCCACUGAAGCUCAGCAGGUGUGAGCCUGGUCAGUACCUGGAUGUGAGACCUCCUGGGAAAAACUAAGGUUGCUGCUGGAA